UACGGAGGAUGCAAGCGUUAUCCGGAAUGAUUGGGCGUAAAGCGUCCGCAGGUGGCAAUGUAAGUCUGCUGUCAAAGCGUCUGGCUCAACCAGAUAAAGGCAGUGGAAACUACAUAGCUAGAGUAAGGUAGGGGUAGAGGGAAUUCCUGGUCUAGCGGUGAAAUGCGUAGAGAUCAGGAAGAACACCGGUGGCGAAAGCGCUCUGCUGGACCUUAACUGACACUGAGGGACGAAAGCUAGGGGAGCGAAUGGG
rnacentral:rRNA from 1 species